rnacentral:rRNA from 1 species
UACGGGGGGAGCAAGCGUUUGUUCGGAUUUACUGGGCGUAAAGGGCGGGUAGGCGGCCACUGCAAGUCGGUUGUGAAAUCUCCGGGCUUAACUCGGAAAGGUCAAUCGAUACUGCAGGGCUAGAGUGCAGAAGGGGCAACUGGAAUUCUCGGUGUAGCGGUGAAAUGCGUAGAUAUCGAGAGGAACACCUGCGGCGAAGGCGGGUUGCUGGGCCGACACUGACGCUGAGGCGCGAAAGCUAGGGGAGCGAACGGG